UGGGCAACCUGCCCCUGACACUGGGAUAACCCCGGGGAAACCGGGAGCUAAUACCGGAUACUCUCGGCCGAUCACAUGGCUGGCCGAGGAAAGGUCCGCCGGUCAGGGAUGGGCCCGCGGCCUAUCAGCUUGUUGGCGAGGUAACGGCUCACCAAGGCGACGACGGGUAGCUGGUCUGAGAGGACGACCAGCCACACUGGAACUGAGAUACGGUCCAGACUCCUACGGGAGGCA
rnacentral:rRNA from 1 species